rnacentral:rRNA from 1 species
GACGAACGCUGGCGGCGUGCCUAAUACAUGCAAGUCGAGCGGAAGUUGGAGAGCUUGCUCUUCAACUUUAGCGGCGGACGGGUGAGUAACACGUGGGCAACCUGCCCUGCAGAUCGGGAUAACUCCGGGAAACCGGUGCUAAUACCGAAUAGUUUUCGCCACCUCCUGGUGGCGUACGGAAAGACGGUUUCGGCUGUCACUGCAGGAUGGGCACGCGGCGCAUUAGCUAGUUGGUGGGGUAACGGCCCACCAAGGCGACGAUGCGUAGCCGACCUGAGGGGGUGAUCGGCCACACUGGGACUAAGACACGGCCCAGACUCCUACGGGAGGCAGCAGUAGGGAAUCUUCCGCAAUGGACGAAAGUCUGACGGAGCAACGCCGCGUGAGUGACGAAGGUUUUCGGAUCGUAAAGCUCUGUUGUGAGGGAAGAACAAGUACCACUUAACUACUGGUACCUUGACGGUACCUCACCAGAAAGCCACGGCUAACUACGUGCCAGCCGCCGCCGUAA